CGGAUAAAAGGUACUCCGGGGAUAACAGGCUGAUACCGCCCAAGAGUUCAUAUCGACGGCGGUGUUUGGCACCUCGAUGUCGGCUCAUCACAUCCUGGGGCUGAAGUAGGUCCCAAGGGUAUGGCUGUUCGCCAUUUAAAGUGGUACGCGAGCUGGGUUUAGAACGUCGUGAGACAGUUCGGUCCCUAUCUGCCGUGGGCGCUGGAGAACUGAGGGGGGCUGCUCCUAGUACGAGAGGACCGGAGUGGACGCAUCACUGGUGUUCGGGUUGUCAUGCCAAUGGCACUGCCCGGUAGCUAAAUGCGGAAGAGAUAAGUGCUGAAAGCAUCUAAGCACGAAACUUGCC
rnacentral:rRNA from 1 species